rnacentral:lncRNA from 1 species
UGAUUUUCAUUGCCAUGCUUCUUGACCUCCAAAUGGCUUGAAAUUUUGCAUGAGCCUACUCUUGUAUGUCUAGUUGACUUGUGAAUUUUCUUGGAUUUAAUUGAACUAUUUUCCAUUUGUUUGAGAUUUUUCUUCCCUGCCUAGUCAAAUGUUGACUUUGUGUGACACAUGUUCCCAUUUCAUUUGUGAAAUUCUCAUACUUUAUUGGAUGGACAUGAAAUUUUACAUGAGAUAACUAGACAUCCUCAUCUUUGCCAUGGUUUUGGUCCCAUUCAUUUAUCAUACACCAUUCUUGACUUAUGAUUUUUCUAAGUUGAUGCAUGUUUGGUUGACUUCUUUGAGCAUGUUCAAAAUUGCUUUGACUUUCUGAUUUUCAUUGACUGCCUUCCACUUGUCCAAAUGGGAUGAAAUUUGACAUGCUUACCAUGCUAUGUGUUAGGUUUGAUCAUGAUUUAUUUGGUGAUUUUUGGAAAAUGUUUAGAUUGCUUUUGAUGCAAGUCUUGCUGUUGACUUCUAUGAGCUUCUGUUUGCCAUAUUUUGACCUAAAUGGUUCAUGAAAUGAUGAUAGUGAUUGAUAUGAAUGUGAACCCAAUUGAGUUUGUUUCUUGAAUGUUUAAACUUGACUUUGAUUGGAUAUCCCUUGCUGUUUUGACUUUCUCAUUCACUUUUGAC